rnacentral:lncRNA from 1 species
CACAAGCAUGACAAUGUUUUCUUAGGGUGCAGGAAGAGGAAGCUUCUUCUCACAAAUGUUACAAUCAGCUAGCAACCAUGCCUGAGAACACGCUGCACAGAAGCAAGAGAUGACCCAAGCCACACACAUGCAUCUUCUCUCCCCUGCUGAGAGUCUCGGACCCUCACACGGAAGGACCACAUAGUUGAGCUUGGUCUCAUUUUUAAG